GACGAACCGUGCGAACGUUGUUCGGAAUCACUGGGCUUAAAGGGCGCGUAGGCGGGCGGUCUCGUCGGGGGUGAAAUCCUGCCGCUCAACGGCAGAACUGCCCCCGAUACGGGCCGUCUCGAGGGAGGUAGGGGCCUGCGGAACUUCCGGUGGAGCGGUGAAAUGCGUAGAUAUCGGGAGGAACACCAGUGGCGAAGGCGGUUGCCUGGAGCUUUGCUGACGCUGAGGCGCGAAAGCGUGGGGAGCGAGCCGG
rnacentral:rRNA from 1 species